UACAGAGGGUGCAAGCGUUAAUCGGAAUUACUGGGCGUAAAGCGUGCGUAGUCGGUUAUUUAAGUCGGGCGUGAAAGCCCCGGGCUCAACCUGGGAAUUGCGUUCGAUACUGGAUAGCUAGAGUUCGGCAGAGGGAAGCGGAAUUUCUGGUGUAGCGGUGAAAUGCGUAGAUAUCAGAAGGAACAUCAGUGGCGAAGGCGGCUACCUGGCCCAAUACUGACACUCAGGUGCGACAGCGUGGGGAGCAAACAGG
rnacentral:rRNA from 1 species